GUGAGGGAAGACGCCCUUUGGGGUGUAAACCUCUUUUCAGGGGGAUGAAACGGCACCUUCGGGUGCNUAAGACAGUACCCCUGGAAUAAGCAUCGGCUAANUACGUGCCAGCAGCCGCGGUAAUACGUAGGAUGCAAGCGUUGUCCGGAUUUACUGGGCGUAAAGCGCGCGCAGGCGGCACACCAAGUACCCUCUGAAAUCUCCCUGCUCAACGGGGAGGGUGGAAGGUAGACUGGUGAGCUAGAGGUCGGUAGAGGGUGGUGGAAUUGCUGGUGUAGCGGUGAAAUGCGUAGAUAUCAGCAGGAACACCCGUGGCGAAGGCGGCCACCUGGGCCGAUAAAACCCCUCUUAGUACUUUGUACUCAUUCUACUUCAUGUAGAAUGAAAGAGAGGGUACCUGACGCUGAGG
rnacentral:rRNA from 1 species